rnacentral:rRNA from 1 species
UCGGGUGUGUAUAAAGUGGCGAACGGCUGAGUAACACGUGGGCAACCUGCCCUUUGCACUGGGAUAGCCUCGGGAAACCGAGGUUAAUACCGGAUACUCCAUAUAUAUCGCAUGAUGUAUAUGGGAAAGCUCCGACGGCAAAGGAUGGGCCCGCGGCCUGCUAGCUAGUUGGUGGGGUAACGGCCUACCAAGGCAAUGAUGGGUAGCCGGGUUGAGAGACCGACCGGCCAGAUUGGGACUGAGACACGGCCCAGACUCCUACGGGAGGCAGCAGUGGGGAAUCUUGCACAAUGGGCGAAAGCCUGAUGCAGCGACGCCGCGUGCGGGAUGAAGGCCUUCGGGUUGUAAACCGCUUUCAGCAGGGACGAGGCCGCAAGGUGACGGUACCUGCAGAAGAAGCCCCGGCUAACUACGUGCCAGCAGCCGCGGUAAUACGUAGGGGGCAAGCGUUAUCCGGAUUCAUUGGGCGUAAAGCGCGCGUAGGCGGUUUGUUAGGUCAGGAGUUAAAUCUGGGGGCUCAACCCCUAUCCGCUCCUGAUACCGGCAGGCUUGAGUCUGGUAGGGGAAGGCGGAAUUCCAAGUGUAGCGGUGAAAUGCGCAGAUAUUUGGAAGAACACCGGUGGCGAAGGCGGCCUUCUGGGCCACGACUGACGCUGAGGCGCGAAAGCUAGGGGAGCGAACAGGAUUGGAUACCCUGGUAGUCCUAGCCGUAAACGAUGGACACUAGGUGUGGGGAGAUUAUACUUUCCGUGCCGCAGCCAACGCAUUAAGUGUC